GACGUGGGGGGCCAGCGUUGCUCGGAAUUACUGGGUGUAAAGGGUUCGUAGGCGGUGUGGCAAGUCGGGAGUGAAAUCUCUGGGCUUAACUCAGAGACUGCUUCCGAAACUGCUGUGCUUGAGUGUGGGAGAGGCGCGUGGAAUUGCAGGUGUAGCGGUGAAAUGUGUAGAUAUCAGGAGGAACACCUGUGGCGAAAGCGGCUCACUGGACCAUAACUGACGCUGAUGCACGAAAGCUAGGGGAGCAAACAGG
rnacentral:rRNA from 1 species